rnacentral:piRNA from 1 species
UAUUUUCUAUUCAUUAUGAAG